rnacentral:rRNA from 1 species
UACGGAGGGUGCGAGCGUUGUCCGGAAUCACUGGGCGUAAAGGGCGCGUAGGCGGCCUGAUAAGUAGGGGGUGAAAUCCUGCGGCUUAACCGCAGGGCUGCCUUCUAAACUGUCAGGCUAGAGCACGGUAGAGGCAGAUGGAAUUCCCGGUGUAGCGGUGGAAUGCGUAGAGAUCGGGAAGAACAUCGGUGGCGAAGGCGGCCUGCUGGGCUCUUGCUGACACUGAGGCGCGACAGCGUGGGGAGCAAACAGG